rnacentral:rRNA from 1 species
GACGAACGCUGGCGGCGCGCUUAAUACAUGCAAGUCGAGCGAGAACCAGGGCUUCGGCCCUGGGGACAGCGGCGAACGGGUGAGUAACACGUGGAUAAUCAACCCCCGACACCGGGAUAGCCCAGGGAAACUUGGAUUAAUACCGGAUGCCCCAUCUGGCUUUCGAGCCGGCUGGAAAAGGCUAGCUUCGGCCUCCGGUCGGGGACGAGCCCGCGGCGGAUUAGCUUGUUGGUGAGGUAAAGGCUCACCAAGGCGACGAUCCGUAGCUGGUCUGAGACGACGAUCAGCCACACUGGGGCUGAGACACGGCCCAGACUCCUACGGGAGGCAGCAGUAGGGAAUCUUGCGCAAUGGGCGAAAGCCUGACGCAGCGACGCCGCGUGAGGGAAGAAGGCCUUCGGGUUGUAAACCUCUUUCAGGAGGGACGAAGCCACUCGGGUUAAUAGCCUAGAGGGUGACGGUACCUCCAGAAGAAGCCCCGGCUAACUACGUGCCAGCCGCCGCAGUAA